AGUCGAACGAAGUAGCAAUACUUAGUGGCAGACGGGUGAGUAACAUGUGGGUAUCUGCCCUUUGGCCUGGAAUAACACGAGGAAACUUGUGCUAAUACCGGAUAAGUCUUUACGGAGAAAGCUUUAUGCACCAUUGGAUGAGCCUGCACUUGAUUAGUUUGUUGGUGGGGUAAUGGCCUACCAAGACUUUGAUCAAUAGCUGAUUUGAGAGGAUGAUCAGCCACAUUGGGACUGAGACACGGCCCAAACUCCUACGGGAGGCAGCAGUGGGGAAUCUUGCACAAUGGGGGAAACCCUGAUGCAGCGAUGCCGCGUGAGUGAAGAAGGCCCUUGGGUUGUAAAACUCUUUCGUCGGGGAAGAAAAUGACUGUACCCGAAUAAGAAGGUCCGGCUAACUUCGUGCCAGCAGCCGCGGUAAUACGAAGGGACCUAGCGUAGUUCGGAAUUACUGGGCUUAAAGAGCUCGUAGGUGGUUAAAAAAGUUGAUGGUGAAAUCCCAAGGCUCAACCUUGGAACUGCCAUCAAAACUUUUUAGCUAGAGUGUGAUAGAGGUAAGUGGAAUUUCUAGUGUAGAGGUGAAAUUCGUAGAUAUUAGAAAGAACACCAAAUGCGAAGGCAACUUACUGGGUCGCUACUGACACUGAGGAGCGAAAGCAUGGGUAGCGAAGAGGAUUAGAUACCCUCGUAGUCCAUGCC
rnacentral:rRNA from 1 species